UACGAAGGGGACUAGCGUGGUUCGGAAUUACUGGGCGUAAAGGGCACGUAGGCGGUUUUGUUAGUCAGGGGUGAAAUCCCGGGGCUCAACCUCGGAACUGCCUUUGAUACUGCAAGUCUCGAGUCCGAUAGAGGUGGGUGGAAUUCCUAGUGUAGAGGUGAAAUUCGUAGAUAUUAGGAAGAACACCGGUGGCGAAGGCGGCCCACUGGAUCGGUACUGACGCUGAGGUGCGAAAGCGUGGGGAGCAAACAGG
rnacentral:rRNA from 1 species